rnacentral:rRNA from 1 species
ACGGGUGAGUAAUGUCUGGGAAACUGCCUGAUGAGGGGGAUAACUACUGAAACGGUAGCUAAUACCGCAUAACGUCGCAAGACCAAAGAGGGGGACCUUCGGGCCUCUUGCCAUCGGAUGUGCCCAGAUGGGAUUAGCUAGUAGGUGAGGUAACGGCUCACCUAGGCGACGAUCCCUAGCUGGUCUGAGAGGAUGACCAGCCACACUGGAACUGAGACACGGUCCAGACUCCUACGGGAGGCAGCAUG